UUGAACGCUGGCGGCGUGCCUAACACAUGCAAGUCGAGCGGUAACAGGUGUAGCAAUACAUGCUGACGAGCGGCGGACGGGUGAGUAACGCUUGGGAAUCUGCCUAUUAGUGGGGGACAACCCGGGGAAACUCGGGCUAAUACCGCAUACGCUCUACGGAGGAAAGCCGGGGACCGCAAGGCCUGGCGCUAAUAGAUGAGCCCAAGUCGGAUUAGCUAGUUGGUAGGGUAAUGGCCUACCAAGGCGACGAUCCGUAACUGGUCUGAGAGGACGACCAGUCACACCGGAACUGAGACACGGUCCGGACUCCUACGGGAGGCAGCAGUGGGGAAUAUUGGACAGUGGGCGAAAGCCUGAUCCAGCGACGCCGCGUGGGUGAAGAAGGCCUGCGGGUUGUAAAGCCCUUUCAGUAGGGGAAGAAAAGCCUCGACCUAACACGUCGGGGUCUUGACGUAACCAUAGAGAAGCACCGGCUAACUCUGUGCCAGCAGCCGCCGU
rnacentral:rRNA from 1 species